CAGGACGAACGCUGGCGGCGUGCUUAACACAUGCAAGUCGAACGGUGAUGAUCAAGCUUGCUUGGUCGGAUCAGUGGCGAACGGGUGAGUAACACGUGAGUAACCUGCCCCAGACUCUGGGAUAACUUCGGGAAACCGGAGCUAAUACCGGAUAUGACACUCGCACGCAUGUGCAGGGUGUGGAAAGUUUUUCGGUCUGGGAUGGGCUCGCGGCCUAUCAGCUUGUUGGUGAGGUAGUGGCUCACCAAGGCGACGACGGGUAGCCGGCCUGAGAGGGCGACCGGCCACACUGGGACUGAGACACGGCCCAGACUCCUACGGGAGGCAGCAGUGGGGAAUAUUGCACAAUGGGCGAAAGCCUGAUGCAGCGACGCCGCGUGAGGGAUGACGGCCUUCGGGUUGUAAACCUCUUUCAGCAGGGAAGAAGCGAAAGUGACGGUACCUGCAGAAGAAGCACCGGCUAACUACGUGCCAGCAGCCGCGGUAAUACGUAGGGUGCGAGCGUUGUCCGGAAUUAUUGGGCGUAAAGAGCUUGUAGGUGGUUUGUCGCGUCUGCUGUGAAAAUCCGGGGCUCAACCCCGGACUUGCAGUGGGUACGGGCAGACUAGAGUGUGGUAGGGGAGACUGGAAUUCCUGGUGUAGCGGUGGAAUGCGCAGAUAUCAGGAGGAACACCGAUGGCGAAGGCAGGUCUCUGGGCCAUUACUGACACUGAGAAGCGAAAGCAUGGGGAGCGAACAGGAUUAGAUACCCUGGUAGUCCAUGCCGUAAACGUUGGGAA
rnacentral:rRNA from 1 species